CUGGGAGAGAGCCAUGACUCACUGGAAAAACCGACAAACUCAAAAAACGUUUCAAAACACACUAAUUCUCCUGGACUCCUCCAGAAUGUGGGUCAAACAAGCUGCAGAAACGCGAAGUAACUCCUCCUCUGUAGCUAAAACAGUUCACCGGAUCUCCUCGUGGGAACGACGACAAAACACUGGAGCAAAUCUUCAGCGGAGAGAAAACUCUGCCCUUCUUUCACAACCUCCCAUGGGCCACACACACUUUUUUUUCCCCCCCUUCAGAGAAGCGGGUUCUGGUGGAAGAGACUGACGAGCCUGAAGUAGCUGACUGGGCGAGGCUUUUUGUCUGAGAGGUGACAUCACAAGGAAA